UAGAGAGUGGUGUAGUGGGAAGCACUAGGGGUUUUGAGCUCUUCAGGAGGGGUUCAAGUCCCCUCUCUCUAA
rnacentral:tRNA from 1 species